rnacentral:rRNA from 1 species
ACGGGGUGCAGCAGGCGCGAAACCUCCACAAUUCACGCAAGUGAGAUGGGGUUACCUCGAGUGCUAUCUGAAGAAGGUGGCUUUUCCAUGGUGUAAUGAGCCGUGGGAAUAAGGGGGGGGCAAGACUGGUGUCAGCCGCCGCGGUAACACCAGCCCCCCGAGUGGUGGGGAUGAUUAUUUGGCCUAAAGCGUCCGUAGCCAGCUCGGUAAAUCUCUCGUUAAAUCCAGCGUCCUAAGCGUUGGGCUGCGAGGGAAACUGCCGAACUAGAGGGUGGGAGAGGUCAGCGGUAUUCCUGGGGUAGGGGCGAAAUCCAUUGAUCCCAGGAGGACCACCAGUGGCGAAGGCUGCUGACUAGAACACGCCUGACGGUGAGGGACGAAAGCUGGGGUAGCGAAUCGGAUUAGAUACCCGAGUAGUCCCAGCCGUAAACGAUGCAGGCUAGGUGUUGGGUCGGCCAUGCGCCGCCUCAGUGCCACAGGGAAGCCAUUAAGCCUGCCGCCUGGGGAGUACGGCCGCAAGGCUGAAACUUAAAGGAAUUGGCGGGGGAGCACCACCAGGCGUGAAGCCUGCGGUUUAAUUGGAGUCAACGCCGGGAACCUUACCGGGAGCGACAGCAGAGUGAAGGCCAGGCUGAAGGUCUUGCCAGACGAGCUGAGAGGAGGUGCAUGGCCGUCGCCAGUUCGUGCCGUGAGGUGUCCUCUUAAGUGAGGUAACGAACGAGACCCGCGCCC